rnacentral:rRNA from 1 species
UACGUAGGGGGCAAGCGUUGUCCGGAUUUAUUGGGCGUAAAGAGCGUGUAGGCGGCCAUACAGGUCCGUUGUGAAAACUGGAGGCUUAACCUCCAGACGUCGAUGGAAACCGUAUGGCUAGAGUCCGGAAGAGGAGAGUGGAAUUCCUGGUGUAGCGGUGAAAUGCGCAGAUAUCAAGGAAGAACACCCGUGGCGAAGGCGGCUCUCUGGGACGGUACUGACGCUGAGACGCGAAAGCGUGGGGAGCGAACAGG